rnacentral:lncRNA from 1 species
AAAAGUAGAAGAAUAUCAUACUCAGGGAGAGUAUUCUAAACUGAGAGAUCCUGCCUCUUUGCGAAUGAAUAGAGGUCGGGGAACUAGAUACUUAGUGGUUGCUCGUCAAAACAAUCUUCCCGAAGACUAAUUGAGGAACAAUUAACAGGAGUACAUUUAGCAAUUCCUCUAUAUGAAAUGUUAAGCUUCAAAAUAUCCAAACCAAAAUAACCUUUUAUGGGGGAUAGGUGGGGCACUUUUGAUGCAUAAUAAGAAUCCCUA